rnacentral:rRNA from 1 species
UACGUAGGGGCUAGCGUUAUCCGGAAUUACUGGGCGUAAAGGGUGCGUAGGCGGUCUUUCAAGCCAGAAGUGAAAGGCUACGGCUCAACCGUAGUAAGCUUUUGGAACUGUAAGACUUGAGUGCAGGAGAGGAGAGUGGAAUUCCUAGUGUAGCGGUGAAAUGCGUAGAUAUUAGGAGGAACACCAGUAGCGAAGGCGGCUCUCCGGACUGUAACUGACGCUGAGGCACGAAAGCGUGGGGAGCAAACAGGAUUAGAUACCCUGGUAGUCCCUGA